rnacentral:tRNA from 1 species
UAGUACUACGCCGGAUGAACGGAAGUCAUUGAUGUUGACUAGCAUGAGAUUAUUUAUUUCUAGUACUA